GAUGAACGCUAGCUACAGGCUUAGCACAUGCAAGUCGCGGGGCAGCAUGGGGGUUGCUUGCAAUCCCCGAUGGCGACCGGCGCACGGGUGAGUAACGCGUAUCCAACCUGCCCUUCACCACGGGAUAACCCGGCGAAAGUCGGACUAAUACCGCAUGUUGUCCAUUGACGGCAUCCGAUUUGGACGAAAGGCUUGGCGGUGAGGGAUGGGGAUGCGUCCGAUUAGCCAGACGGCGGGGUAACGGCCCACCGUGGCUACGAUCGGUAGGGGUUCUGAGAGGAAGGUCCCCCACACUGGAACUGAGACACGGUCCAGACUCCUACGGGAGGCAGCAGUGAGGAAUAUUGGUCAAUGGGCGUAAGCCUGAACCAGCCAAGUAGCGUGCAGGAUGACGGCCCUAUGGGUUGUAAACUGCUUUUAUGCGGGGAUAAAGUGGCCCACGUGUGGGCUUUUGCAGGUACCGCAUGAAUAAGGACCGGCUAAUUCCGUG
rnacentral:rRNA from 1 species